UACUUGAAAGUUCUUGAGUUAUUAUAAUUAUGAACGUGCUCUUCUCUUUGGUUGUAAUUUCUGGAUUCUUGGCUUCUUCUUAUGCUUUCGGCCCUUUGAGGUGUUUGGCAAUGACUGAAGAAUGCCUGGGAACAGACGCGUGGAGAAAGUACGUGAAGUCACUUAAGAAUGAAUAAAUUUGUAUAUACAGAUAAAUUUGGGAACAGAUGCGUGGAGAAAGUACAAGGAGUCAAUUAAGCUUGUAUAAAUUUUUAUAUAUUUUAUUGAUAUUUAAUUGAAAAUAAAAUUCAUAAGGAAUA
rnacentral:sRNA from 1 species